AAUAGACAGGACAUUUAUUAUACACAACCUCUAGUUGAAGAUACAGGUUUUAUCUUCCAGUGUUGUCAAUACUCAAUGAUACAUGUGUCAUGUAUCUCGUAUAUAUAUAAAGCAUACUGUAUGAGCCCAACAAUGAAUUUGAAUACAACCUCGAAAAAAUAUAAAAACAAUAUGUGAGCUGGGAACCGGCGAAAUAUGCUGACCAGUCACCUUGUCAGGCUAUCAACAGCAGUGAGCACCAAUAUCAGUUGAUUUUGUCAUUAACCAAUUAGUAUCGGUUGGCCAAGUAUGCAUUUGAUACUUACCAUACAUACAUUGAUAAUAUCAUGCCGGGCGGUUUAUCGAUAAACAGGAAAAAAAAGAUUUUCUUGAAAACCAAUUCAACCAAUUUUUACUUAGACGAAAAACCGUUAAUAAUCAGAAAAAUGUUUGAAACUCAGUAAUUACCCAAAUUAUUCAAAGAUUUGUAUACCAUUAUCGCCGUUCGUAGCAUGAUUCUUUGCUGUAUAGGUAGUACUCCAGCAGUUAUAAAUAGUGGCCCAGAAGAUGUUAGUUUUGGUUUGGCAUAGAUAAUCCUCAAAGCUAAUUUUUGCAGUUUAUAUUUUUUUCCACCCACAGCAAAGUUUAUAUUUAGUAUCCAAUCAAAAUGUCGCAGAAGAGAUUUAAAUUUCACACAACAGCAACAAUCUAAU